rnacentral:rRNA from 1 species
CCUACGGGUGGCAGCAGUGAGGAAUAUUGGUCAAUGGGCGUGAGCCUGAACCAGCCAAGUCGCGUGAGGGAUGAAGGUUCUAUGGGUCGUAAACCUCUUUUAUCAGGGAAUAAAGUGCGGGACGUGUCCCGUUUUGUAUGUACCUUAUGAAUAAGGAUCGGCUAACUCCGUGCCAGCAGCCGCGGUAAUACGGAGGAUCCGAGCGUUAUCCGGAUUUAUUGGGUUUAAAGGGUGCGUAGGCGGACUUUUAAGUCAGCGGUGAAAGUCUGGGGCUCAACCCUAUAAGUGCCGUUGAAACUGGGAGGCUUGAGUAGGUUAGAGGUAGGCGGAAUGCGUGGUGUAGCGGUGAAAUGCUUAGAUAUCACGCAGAACUCCGAUUGCGAAGGCAGCAUGCCAAGCCACGACUGACGCUGAUGCACGAAAGCGUGGGUAUCGAACAGGAUUAGAUACCCUGGUAGUC